rnacentral:rRNA from 1 species
UCCACGCAGUAAACGAUGAAUGUUAGUCGUCGGGGGCCUAGUGUCUUCGGUGAUGCAGCUAACGCAUUAAACAUUCCGCCUGGGGAGUACGGUCGCAAGAUUAAAACUCAAAGGAAUAGACGGGGACCCGCACAAGUGGUGGAGCAUGUGGUUUAAUUCGAAGAUACGCGAAGAACCUUACCUAGCCUUGACAUUGAAGUAAACGACACGUAGAGAUAGAG